AAAAAAAAAAAAUCUUUAUAUAUAUAAUUGACGGGAGCACAAGCUAUGGAAUUGCCAGUUACAUAGGAGAGACUCUCUAAGUGAUGAAUGAUUGUGGAGCUUUUUGAGAUGGGCCAUUUGCUACAAUUUCUUUCCAUCUCAUCACCUCUAGUGAUGUGUAAUGCACUCCAAUUUGAUUUCUGCUUUAGUUUCUGCAUUGUGUUCAUUUGUUACACUUUUUCCUUCUUCCUUGUUCUUCCCCCAUAAUACUCCAUAAAGUCCACCCACCAACAAAAUUGCCCCACCAACACUUCCCAAAUGAAGAGUUUCUUUCCACAAGAAUACAGAGAAAAUGGCAGUAAUGAUGAGUGCUAAUGGAGAGAACAUUGAAGCGAAAACUGGUCCUUUCUUCUGUAUUGUCCAAACUUGCAGCCAGUAAGAAAUUCCAUUCACAGUUAUGCCACAAUAGGCCACUGCCAAAAGUUGAACAUCCCAGCCAAGCUUCCAACCUGAAGGAUUCCUCUCCACAGCCACGGCCCAACAAGCUGAUUGUAUGCAGGAAAAGAAGCAUUGCAGAGCAGUAAGACGAAGCUUGGCUGGAUAUUGCUUCACAAUGGGACCCUGCAACACAAACCAUAAAGACCAAAGUAUGUUGGCUGAGAUCAUCAGGAGGGAACCUUUAAUCCAUUCUCCACUAGAGCAACAACCCUUUAUUGAUGAGUCUUGAAUAUGAUCAUUUGGAGUGGCUUGAUUCCAGUUCAUA
rnacentral:misc_RNA from 1 species